GAAACUCUUGAUCUCCUUGAAGAGUUUGGCGUAAAGGUAAAUAAAAACAUGUUGUGACGUAAUGCGGAAGUGAUAUCGGUUGCUUGAAAAAUGGAUUUUUGUCAAAUUACAGUGAACAGGUUAUUGUGAGAUAGUCUGAUUACUUCGGAGCUGCCAGAUUGUGUAUGAAAUCCUGAAAAAAGUAUUUCAACAACUUUUUCAUGAACCACAGAAACUUCACCUUACCAAAUUGUAGGACCAGACAUUGUGAGAAAGUUUGAUUGCAUUCAAGAGCUGCCAGAGCUAAAGCUAGAAAAGAAACUAAACAACUUCUUCUCAUGAUCUGCUUAAUUGAUCUUCACAUUGAAUUGUCAACCUGUAUGCUACAUUGUAUAAUGACGUUGAGCAAAUAAAGAUACUGCAGUCAGCGUUACAACCUUCAUUAAACAGAAUGAAUUGGUGUUACAGAAAUGGAUAACAUAUGGAGACAAACACUUUCAGACUACUGAAACUACACAUUGUUUGAGACUAUGAGAAUGGCUUAUUUUCAUGAUGGAACUCAUAUCACAAAGAAAGAACUUGCUUUAUCUUAUUUCUUAUAACUAGUCCUCAAAGACAUACCCAAGUAAACUACAUCAGGAAAGAAAGCAAAGAAAGUUGAUUCAGGAUUUAGAAUUGAAUGUUUUUGUGUCAACAGUGUGUGAAAACUGCGAAAAAUAGGAUUUUAAUUUCAAGGAUUUGAUUUAGUAUGUGAAGGAGUGAUUUGUUUUUAAUUCAUCACACAAGUUAUUGACAAUGCUCUAAAAUAUAAAUAGGAUGUGUAAAUACAGACUUUCAUACCUAACUAAAAUAAUGUUGAACUCAACAGAAUAAACAAACUAGCAUCUGUUGUAUAAUAUAUUAGUUGUUUUAUCAAACUUUGUCAGUUUUGUUACAUUACUUAUCAUUGAUAGAAUAUAUUAUCUAAUAAC